rnacentral:rRNA from 1 species
CUAAGUUUGAUCCUGGCUCAGAACGAAGGAUGGCGGCUGGCUUAACACAUGCAUGUCGAGCGCCCCGCAAGGGGAGCGGCAGACGGGUGAGUAACGCGUGGGAAUCUACCCUUGACUACGGAAUAACGCAGGGAAACUUGUGCAAAUACCGUAUGUGUCCUUCGGGAGAAAGAUUUAUCGGUCAAGGAUGAGCCCGCGUUGGAUUAGCUAGUUGGUGGGGUAAAGGCCUACCAAGGCGACGAUCCAUAGCUGGUCUGAGAGGAUGAUCAGCCACAUUGGGACUGAGACUCGGCCCAAACUCCUACGGGAGGCAGCAGUGGGGAAUAUUGGACAAUGGGCCCAAGCCUGAUCCAGCCAUGCCGCGUGAGAGAUGAAGGCCCUAGGGUUGUAAAGCUCUUUCACCGGAGAGGAUAAUGACGGUAUCCGGAGAAGAAGCCCCGGCUAACUUCGUGCCAGCAGCCGCGGUAAUACGAAGGGGGCUAGCGUUGUUCGGAAUUACUGGGCGUAAAGCGCACGUAGGCGGAUCGAUCAGUCAGGGGAGAAAUCCCAGGGCUCAACCCUGGAACUGCCUUUGAUACUGUCGAUUUGGAGUAUGGAAGAGGUGAGUGGAAUUCCGAGUGUAGAGGUGAAAUUCGUAGAUAUUCGGAGGAACACCAGUGGCGAAGGCGGCUCACUGGUCCAUUACUGACGCUGAGGUGCGAAAGGGUGGGGAGCAAACAGGAUUAGAUACCCUGGUAGUCCACGCCGUAAACGAUGAAUGUAAGCCGUCGGGCAGUAUACUGUUCGGUGGCGCAGCUAACGCAUUAAACAUUCCGCCUGGGGAGUACGGUCGCAAGAUUAAAACUCAAAGGAAUUGACGGGGGCCCGCACAAGGGCUGGAGCAUGUGGUUUAAUUCGAAGCAACGCGCAGAACCUUACCAGCCCUUGACAUGCCCGGCUACUUGCAGAGAUGCAUGGUUCCCUUCGGGGACCGGGACACAGGUGCUGCAUGGCUGACGUCAGCUCGUGUCGUGAGAUGUUGGGUUAAGUCCGGCAACGAGCGCAACCCUCGCCCUUAGUUGCCAGCAUUCAGUUGGGCACUCUAAGGGGACUGCCGGUGAUAAGCCGAGAGGAAGGUGGGGAUGACGUCAAGUCCUCAUGGCCCUUACGGGCUUGGCUACACACGUGCUACAAUGGUGGUGACAGUGGGCAGCGAGCACGCGAGUGUGAGCUAAUCUCGAAAAGCCAUCUCAGUUCGGAUUGCACUCUGCAACUCGAGUGCAUGAAGUUGGAAUCGCUAGUAAUCUCGGAUCAGCAUGCCGCGGUGAAUACGUUCCCGGGCCUUGUACACACCGCCCGUCACACCAUGGGAGUUGGUUUUACCCGAAGGUAGUGCGCUAACCGCAAGGAGGCAGCUAACCACGGUAGGGUCAGCGACUGGGGUGAAGUCGUAACAAGGUAGCCGUAGGGGAACCUGCGGCUGGAUCACCUCCUUUAAAUUUGCU